rnacentral:rRNA from 1 species
AACUGUGUGCGGUGGAUCACUUGGCUCGUGCGUCGAUGAAGAGUACAGCCAACUGUGUGAAUUAAUGUGAAUCGCA